AACUUUCGGCAACGGACUCUUGGUUCUGGCAUCGAUGAAGAACGCAGCGAAAUGCGAUAAGUAAUGUGAAUUGCAGAAUUCAGUGAAUCAUCGAAUCUUUGAACGCACAUUGCGCCCAUUAGUAUUCUAGUGGGCAUGCCUGUUCGAGCGUCAUUUCAACCCUUAAGCCCUGUUGCUUAGUGUUGGGAGCCUACAUCACUGUAGCUCCCCAAAGUUAGUGGCGGAGUCGGUCUCACACUCUAGACGUAGUAAAUUUCUCUCGUCUGUAGUUGGGCUGGUCCCUUGCCGUAAAACACCCCAAUUUUUAAAGGUUGACCUCGAAUCAGGUAGGAAUACCCGCUGAACUUAAGCAUAUCAAUAAGCGGAGGCU
rnacentral:misc_RNA from 1 species